rnacentral:rRNA from 1 species
AACGAACGCUGGCGGCAUGCCUAACACAUGCAAGUCGAACGAGACCUUCGGGUCUAGUGGCGCACGGGUGCGUAACGCGUGGGAACCUGCCCUUAGGUUCGGAAUAACUCCCGAAAGGGGUGCUAAUACCGGAUAAUGUCUUCGGACCAAAGAUUUAUCGCCUUUGGAUGGGCCCGCGUUGGAUUAGCUAGUUGGUAGGGUAAAAGCCUACCAAGGCGACGAUCCAUAGCUGGUCUGAGAGGAUGACCAGCCACACUGGGACUGAGACACGGCCCAGACUCCUACGGGAGGCAGCAGUGGGGAAUAUUGGACAAUGGGCGAAAGCCUGAUCCAGCAAUGCCGCGUGAGUGAUGAAGGCCUUAGGGUUGUAAAGCUCUUUUACCCGGGAUGAUAAUGACAGUACCGGGAGAAUAAGCUCCGGCUAACUCCGUG